rnacentral:rRNA from 1 species
CCUACGGGAGGCAGCAGUGAGGAAUAUUGGUCAAUGGACGAGAGUCUGAACCAGCCAAGUAGCGUGAAGGAUGACUGCCCUAUGGGUUGUAAACUUCUUUUAUAUGGGAAUAAAAUGUUCCACGUGUGGGAUUUUGUAUGUACCUUAUGAAUAAGGAUCGGCUAACUCCGUGCCAGCAGCCGCGGUAAUACGGAGGAUCCGAGCGUUAUCCGGAUUUAUUGGGUUUAAAGGGAGCGUAGGUGGAUUGUUAAGUCAGUUGUGAAAGUUUGCGGCUCAACCGUAAAAUUGCAGUUGAAACUGGCAGUCUGGAGUACAGUGGAGGUGGGCGGAAUUCGUGGUGUAGCGGUGAAAUGCUUAGAUAUCACGAAGAACUCCGAUUGCGAAGGCAGCUCACUGGACUGCAACUGACACUGAGGCUCGAAAGUGUGGGUAUCAAACAGGAUUAGAUACCCGAGUAGUC